GAGGCGUCAACAUCAUGAAGCCUCAUCUCUGCAUGUGAAGAGGAGCUGUCCCCCAAGAAACAUCUAAAAACGGAUCUGAAACGGAAGAGGCAAGGAGUGGCUAUUGAAGAGGGGGACUCUCUCUCACAUGUCGCUCCUGACCGAGAUUAGGGAGAAAAACCCAGAGGACUAUCGGAAUUACCUGCGAAUGGAUGACGCUACCUUCCAGGAGUUGCUGGGCCUUGUGACUCGCUACAUCGAGAGGCAGGACACCAAGAUGCAAGGGCCAUCACUGCUGAGGAGAGGCUGACUGCUACGCUGAGGUUCCUGGCUACAGGGCAGUCGUUGGAGGACAUGAAGUUCGGGACCCUCAUCUCCCCCCAGGUUUUGGGUCGGAUAAUCCCUGACAUCUGCGAGGCCAUUGUGUAGGUGCUGCAGGACUAGUAUUGAAAGCUCCCUGCAAGUACAUCAGAAUGUCAAGCCAUUGCAGAGGAGUUUGCCACCACCUGGCAUUUCCCCAACUGUGGGGGAGCGAUAGAUGGCAAGCACGUCAGCAUCAACCCUCCUGCAAACAGCGGAUCCCUUUAUUAUAAUUAUAACGGGUAUUUCAGCAUCGUGCUGAUGGCAGUGGUGAUUGCCAAUUAUGAAUUCAUCUUCAUUGACGUUGGCAAAACUGGACGUGCAUCAGACGGUGGAUCGCUGAAGAAUACCACCUUCUACGAACAGCUCACCACAAAGAUCCUGAACAUGCCAUCUAGGGAGCAAACCCAGCACGACCUCAAUUUUGUUUUCGUAGCUGAUGAAGCAUUCGCACUCCACACCAAAAAAACAUAAAAAACGCAUGUCGACCUUUUGACCUGUCGACCUAGAACAUGUCGACCUAAAGACCCUGUCGACCUAGUUACUGUCACCCUUCAAUACCACACCCGUUUCUCUUAAGGCACGUAUUACUAAGUAAACUUUUAAUAGCAUAAAAGAGUU